CUCUCCCUGCAGCUCCUUAAACCGGAACCGAAACCGAAACCUACCUCCGACAUCGACGAGGUAGGUUAAUAUGAACUGGGUCCUUCAAUUGAUAUUCACUCUGUUUUAGGGUUGCUACACGGCGUCGAAGUAGUUUGAGGUUGACGCAAAUUUCAGAAGAGGCGGAGGAGACCACAGUAGUGAUCCAUUUGAGGCUAUGUCAACUAGCAGGUUUCGUCACAAACCUACAAUCUCGAUGCGAACCUCUGCCUUCUUCGUCUCUAUCAGGUGAUUUAGGGUUUAGGAAUAGAGUUUCUGGGUUUGACUAGUUUCUGUUUGGAUUCUGUGCUUUGUUGUGAUGGUUUGUUCCUGUAAUUUUUUGGUAUAAUUUGAGCCAGAGCGUAUUGGAACUCAAAUUGUUGCUUGUAUUUUGGUUAAGGUUUGCAUUUCAAUCUUGAAAAGCUUUCGACUUUUGAUUUAGAUUGUUAUUGAUUAAGUGGUGGAAUAAGAAAUCUGUUUGAAGUUUUCUGUAUGUUAAUGUGUAGGCACUGAAGGCAGUGCCAGCUUCCGAUUUCAGCCUUGUCUCUUCCAAAUUCCAGAAAGAGUGACAGGAAGAUUCAGUCAAUUUUAGGAUGAAGCAUCUAAGAAUUGUCACAUACUUGAAGCUGUCUCAGGAAGAUUCAGUCAAUUUGUGGUGAGAAAUUGGUGAUUGCUUGUCAUGAAGGGCAAGACCAUUUGAGGCUUAGGAUAUGGUCUUCAAAGGGAGACUCUUUGUAUUUCUGCUAAUUCUUCAAGCACAGAGAAGUACACAAUAGAGUUGUUGAGUGCAAUGGGUAAGAUGGCAUUGAAGAUAGAAGAACUGGUUGGAAGCCAAGUUUGCGGCGUAUGCAAAAGUAAAUGUGUCCCCCUUAUGAUGAUGGUACUGGUGAGAAUGACCAAGAAAUAGAUAUUGAAGAUGAGGAGAAUUUUGGCUAUAUGUAUUAAUCUUGUUAGGUUUUCGUAAGCUAACUACUUAUUAGGACGUUAUUUAUCUUAUUUUAACAUACGAAUCUUCUUACUUGCAUAAGUAUUUUUAGUUGAAGACUCAUGAAGUAUAUUUA